rnacentral:rRNA from 1 species
GACAGAGGUCCCGAGCGUUAUGCGGAAUCACUGGGCUUAAAGCGUGUGUAGGCGGAUCGUUAAGUGCCUUGUGAAAUCCCAUGGCUUAACCAUGGAACUGCUUGGCAUACUGGCGGUCUUGAGCCACUUAGGGGCAACCGGAACAAAUGGUGUAGCGGUGAAAUGCGCAGAUAUCAGGAGGAACACCGAUGGCGAAGGCAGGUCACUGGGCCGCAACUGACGCUGAGGAGCGAAAGCAUGGGGAGCGAACAGG